GGCAAACUCAGCCUUUACUCCUGGCAGCGUUGAGGAAGUUCUAACUAGGGAGGAAUUUGCCCUAAAUCAAUACUGAAUGGUUUGGGAAAGGGACUGGUGAGAAGAGGCUGAAGGAUUCUCCCAUCAGCCUGAGUAACAGAAACUGCAAGCUUCAGUUGAAAGACAGAGUUGAAAGUGAGGAAACAGACCGGAAGACUCAGAGGUCUGUACCCAUGUGUCUCUGAAUGCCCUUGUGACUGCACAGAAGGGCUGCUGAAGGAAUGUGACCUGUGCAUACACUGGCUUGUUGUCCCCUGCCUCGGGAUGUUUCUGGAGCAUCUGCUCUGUCAGCUGCUGUGGUACUAGCAGAACUGGACAGCAUGAGAUGAGAACUGAGGAAAACUCAGAAGAAAAGGGAUUCCAAGUCAUUGGCAAGUCAUUCCAAGGACUGGAGAGAUGACUCAGAUGGUUAAGAGUACUGUUGCUCUUGAAGUGGACCAGGGUUGGGUUCCCAGCACCCACGUGGUGGUUCACAGCCAUUCAGAACUUCAGUUCCAGGGGUUCUGAUGACUUCUUCUGACUUCCAUGGGCUCCAGGCACGUACAUGGUACACAUAUGUUCAUGCAGGAAAAACACUCAUGCACUUAAACUUGAAAACAAUAAUAAAAUAACCAAGACUUUCCAGCUGAUGGUUCCUCUACCUAGAAACGGCCAACCUUCAUUUCUUUCUCCAGCAAGGAGGACUUCACAACAGCUUAAGAACAAGGUGGGGAGGGAUCAGUAGCCAUAGUUUGAAAAACUACCCCCUCAAACACACACCUUUGUGCCAGAUAGAUUCACUACACAAGCAUUUACAAAUGUGACUCUGCCUUGGGCAUCAAGAAAUGGGCACAACAGCAUCCCCAGGUGUCACUGAAGUUCUCCCAAAUCCUG
ensembl:lncRNA